ACCUUAGAGACCAACUAAGUUUGUUAUUGGUAUGAGCUUUCGUGUGCAUGAAGACGUGUGCAUGCACACAAAAGCUCAUACCAAUACCAAACUUAGUUGGUCUCUAAGGU
rnacentral:miRNA from 1 species